UACAGAGGUCUCAAGCGUUGUUCGGAUUCAUUGGGCGUAAAGGGUGCGUAGGCGGCGCGGUAAGUCGGAUGUGAAAUCUCGGAGCUUAACUUCGAAACUGCAUUCGAUACUGCCGUGCUUGAGGACUGGAGAGGAGACUGUAAUUUACGGUGUAGCGGUGAAAUGCGUAGAUAUCGUAAGGAAGACCAGUGGCGAAGGCGGGUCUCUGGGCCGAAAUUGACGCUGAGGAGCGAAAGCGUGGGGAGCAAACAGG
rnacentral:rRNA from 1 species